rnacentral:rRNA from 1 species
UACGUAGGGCGCAAGCGUUGUCCGGAAUUAUUGGGCGUAAAGAGCUCGUAGGCGGCCUGUUGCGUCCGCUGUGAAAUCCCGGGGCUCAACCCCGGGCCUGCAGUGGAUACGGGCUGGCUAGAGUGCAGAAGGGGCAACUGGAAUUCUCGGUGUAGCGGUGAAAUGCGUAGAUAUCGAGAGGAACACCUGCGGCGAAGGCGGGUUGCUGGGCUGAUACUGACGCUGAGGCGCGAAAGCCAGGGGAGCGAACGGG